GUAACCUUGAGUUUUCUUCUUGCUGUCAAAAACAAUAGUAGAAUUUUCGUAACCCCUUUAACUUAAUGCGGUUAAUUCACUAACGUGGAGUUUGGUUUCAUGAAUUCAACUUCAAGCUAUGUUCUAGAAGCAAUUGAAUGGAAGAAUGGUAACUAGUAUCUAGCAAGAGUGUGUACUUCCAGGGAGCAAAAGUGCCUAUUUCUAGGCAACCUUAUUAGUAACUGCUAUUAGAAUUAAUCACUUGGUUUAAC
rnacentral:misc_RNA from 1 species